UGGGAAUUAAUUUUUCAUAAAGGUACGAUCAGCAGGCGACGUGCGUUGUUUUGAGGGUUCUAGCUGGUGACAAAAGGGUCGUAAUGAAGCAGGAACGACCUCACGCGGACGAAGAUCUUGAAGCGAAAAUCAUAUCGAGUGAGAUCGGAUGCUUCGGUUCCCUCCUGUUUGCAGUGUUUGUGGCCGAAGGCGAAGCUUGUGGAAAAUACGAACACUUGGUGAGCCAAACGUGCAAGUCAAGAAGUUCAUUGCUAAUCACCUGUUUACUACAUGGCUUGCCUAAAACACUCCCAGCAAGAAACUCUUGGAAAGUAAUUGCUUUUAAUAAAAUAACCAACACUCUAUCUUCAGAGUUUUCACUUAUUAUGGCAGACCCAGAAAACUGACUCAAAUUUGGUAGCAAUUGUGACAAAAGCAGUUUUCAGUAGUUGUUGUUUUUGUUUUUUAUGAUAGCAUAGUAAUCCACUAUGGAUGCCACAUGGAACUCUCAAAAAAUAUUUUUUGUGCUUUAUGUAUCAAUCAAUUUGAUGCGUCAGAUUGAAAAAAAGAAAAAGUGAGUUUUGCCAACUAAAAGAGUUCUUGACAUAGAUGAACUAUGACACUGAAUUUUAAUAUUCACAAAAUUGUCCUCAUAAUAAAAAGUUUGAUAGAAGUCUCACAAAAAAUAAUUUCCCAUACACUUCGAUGGUCUGAAAGAUUCUCUUUCAAACAAAUCUUAUGGUAACUAUAACGGGAUAAAAUAAAUAUCUUGAUUCAGAUAUAUUUCUCAAACUUUUAAGUAUCUUCUUUACAUCUCAAAAUUAUAUCAUAACAUUGGUUAACACAAUGCAAUAAGAACUAGUAUAGCAAACCUUUGUGUCAGAAGGCCUCUAAGUGCUAAGAAUGGGAAUAUCAAUUCACUGAAUGUUUAUCACCGACGGAAAAUUAAAUGUGUGUAAAGGACUAGCAUUGUUGAGAUCAGUAGCUAAGAGGAAGCAUUUCUGUUCUCUUCCUUUAACCCUUAAAUACCCAAGAUUUGAUUGUCAAUUCUCCCUUCUAGUUGCUACACAUUUACUUGUAAAUAAGUUAUAAGAAUUUGAUGUAAGAUCAAGAUAACUUCUGCCUGAUAAGUUUCAGUAUUAACGUUAUCUGUUUGCUGGAUAGUGUUUAGAGAAGUUACAUGAAUCAGUCACUUCUGUGAGUUUUUAAAUUGUCUAAUAUUUUGGUCUAAUUCUUUCAAUGGUGUCUUGCCACCUAACAAAUUACCAUGAGUCACGAACUGAAAUGGUUUUCAAUGUAUCACGAGCAUAAGUUGUCCUGAACCAGAUGGGUAUGAAAAUAUUAUUACAUCUGUUAGUUUCAGUUUUCCUCAUGGGUUGAUAGAAACAAGGGUUAUAAUCAAAUGGUUCUACAGGCUCUAUUGUAUAGUUUCCUGUAAGAUGAAAUGUACAAAUGGCAAACUAAAAGACAUCUUGGUGAACAAAAUGGGAACAACUUUAACUGAAGAAUAUGGUACAACAACAAGUACCACAUCAACAACAGCAUCAAUAACAAAUCUCCUCUACCUAAAGAGCUGCAGUCGUUGCCUCACUUUCUAAGCCAUCCUGAACAGCUUCUGUGGUACUUCCUGUGAUGCGUUCCUCUCAACAUGAUGUGGCAAUAUUCUUGUGAAACAAUGUGGUAAUCGUAAAGCUGACUGAAAUUCAUCUCAGGUCCUGGACAUCUGUAAGAAGUUCUUGGUUUUCUCCACUACUCGAUGGAAGGACGUGUUGCAUCAGCAAAGCAUAAACUUUCAACACUAAGCUCUAAUUCAGCCUGUUGAUUUUAAAUUAGAUUUUAGAAUCUCCCUGGGAUCUUUUGCUUCAAGUUUCUGGAUGUCAUCUAAUGGUGAAAUUUCCAUAUUGUUGGGUUAAAGAACUAUUUUGAAGGGAGAAAUUGCAGUGAAAAGUGCAUUAGAUUGUGAAAUGUCAGCAGAUCAGCUGUAUGAAAGAACCGCCGGGUCAACCCUAGUGUAUCGUGUAUGCGCAGUUACUAAUCCAAUAUGGUGCCAGGAACUGUAAAAAGGUCUAUUCUUGACAUAACACAUACAUCUGUGCUAGGUUAAUACAUAAGCGACCAAAUGACACGAAUGAUGAAAAUAUUCUCACUACAGUUAAGUUGAUGCCAUUUCAUUAUUUUUAUAAAUUCCGUCUUUAAACUAUUACUUACAAGGUAUUUUAUAACUUAGACUUAGAAGAAAUAAAUUCCCUAGUUGUUAAGAGUAUACAUAUUCUCUAUAAU